rnacentral:rRNA from 1 species
AACACUACAUUGAGGAAAUGCUUUGUAGCUGACGGUACCUUAUCAGAAAGCGAUGGCUAACUAUGUGCCAGCAGCCGCGGUAAUACAUAGGUCGCAAGCGUUAUCCGGAAUUAUUGGGCGUAAAGCGUUCGUAGGCUGUUUAUUAAGUCUGGAGUCAAAUCCCAGGGCUCAACCCUGGCUCGCUUUGGAUACUGGUAAACUAGAGUUAGAUAGAGGUAAGCGGAAUUCCAUGUGAAGCGGUGAAAUGCGUAGAUAUAUGGAAGAACACCAAAGGCGAAGGCAGCUUACUGGGUCUAUACUGACGCUGAGGGACGAAAGCGUGGGGAGCAAACAGGAUUAGAUACCCUGGUAGUCCACGCCGUAAACGAUGAUCAUUAGUCGGUGGGUUAUUCACUGACGCAGCUAACGCAUUAAAUGAUCCGCCUGAGUAGUAUGCUCGCAAGAGUGAAACUUAAAGGAAUUGACGGGGACCCGCACAAGCGGUGGAGCAUGUGGUUUAAUUUGAAGAUACACGGAGAACCUUACCCACUCUUGACAUCUUCCGCAAAGCUAUAGAGAUAUAGUGGAGGUUAACGGAAUGACAGAUGGUGCAUGGUUGUCGUCAGCUCGUGUCGUGAGAUGUUUGGUCAAGUCCUGCAACGAGCGCAACCCCUAUCUUCAGUUACUAACGAGUUAUGUCGAGGACUCUGGAGAUACUGCCUGGGUAACUGGGAGGAAGGUGGGGAUGAUGUCAAAUCAUCAUGCCUCUUACGAGUGGGGCAACACACGUGCUACAAUGGUCGGUACAAAGAGAAGCAAUAUGGCGACAUGGAGCAAAUCUCAAAAAGCCGAUCUCAGUUCGGAUUGAAGUCUGCAACUCGACUUCAUGAAGUCGGAAUCGCUAGUAAUCGCAGAUCAGCUAUGCUGCGGUGAAUACGUUCUCGGGUCUUGUACACACCGCCCGUCACACCAUGGGAGCUGGUAAUACCCAAAGUCGGUUUGUUAACCUCGGAGGCGACUG